rnacentral:rRNA from 1 species
GUGGGGAAUAUUGGACAAUGGGCGAAAGCCUGAUCCAGCCAUGCCGCGUGUGUGAAGAAGGUCUUCGGAUUGUAAAGCACUUUAAGUUGGGAGGAAGGGCAGUAAGUUAAUACCUUGCUGUUUUGACGUUACCGACAGAAUAAGCACCGGCUAGCUUCGUGCCAGCAGCCGCGGUAAUACGAAGGGUGCAAGCGUUAAUCGGAAUUACUGGGCGUAAAGCGCGCGUAGGUGGUUUUGUAAGUUGGAGGUGAAAUCCCCGGGCUCAACCUGGGAACUGCCUCCAAAACUGCAUGACUAGAGUACGGUAGAGGGUAGUGGAAUUUCCUGUGUAGCGGUGAAAUGCGUAGAUAUAGGAAGGAACACCAGUGGCGAAGGCGACUACCUGGACUGAUACUGACACUGAGGUGCGAAAGCGUGGGGAGCAAACAGGAUUAGAUACCCGGGUAGUCC